rnacentral:miRNA from 1 species
AACAGAACAUGCCAUUGGUG